rnacentral:tRNA from 1 species
UGAUUUCGAGUAGGCCGCUAUGGUGAAA